rnacentral:rRNA from 1 species
GCACCACAAGGGGUGAAGCCUGCGGUUCAAUUGGACUCAACGCCGGGAAACUUACCAGGGGAGACAGUAGAAUGACGGUCAGGUUGACGACCUUACCUAACGAGCUGAGAGGAGGUGCAUGGCCGUCGCCAGUUCGUGCUGUGAGGUAUCCUGUUAAGUCAGGCAACGAACGAGAUCCGCGCCUUUAUUUGCCAACAAGAAGUCACGACUUCGUUGGGAACACUAAAGGGACCGCCUUCGAUAAGACGGAGGAAGGAGCGGGCAAAGGCAGGUCAGUAUGCCCCGAAACCCCUGGGCUACACGCGGGCUGCAAUGAUAUGAACAAUGGGCAGUAACUCCGAAAGGAGAAACCAAUCCCGAAAUCAUAUCUCAGUGGGGAUUGUCGGCUGUAACCCGCUGACAUGAACGUGGAAUCCCUAGUAAUCGUGUGUCAUCAUCGCACAGUGAAUACGUCUCUGCUCCUUGCACACACCGCCCGUCGCUCCAUCCGAGUGUGCUAAAAAUGAGGUUUGGUCAAUCUGGUCAUAUCGAGUUUCUAGUAUGCGAGGAGGGAG